GAGGCUUUAAUUUAAUACUAAAAUAGUUGCUUUGCAUGCACCAGAUGUGGGUGGAAUUCCCGCAAGUCUUA
rnacentral:tRNA from 1 species